UCAAUUUAAAAGAGCUUACAAUAAGCCUCAGCCAGAAUGUCAAAAUAUAUCAGAGGCUCUCCUACUCAACUCCUAUUCCGUUACGUUCUCGUCGUGCAGACAGGUAACCUGUUCCACCGUAUAUCCAAGCUGGACUUCAACCCCUUGGGUGGAUGGUGGUGAAGCUGGAAGAAGGGGGAUGGA
rnacentral:ribozyme from 1 species